ACAAGGAAAAAUACUAAAUGGAGGCCUUUCCUUAAACCUGGCAUUCUUCAGGUCCUUUGAUCUCAAGCUUUUGUUCUGGGGCACAUUGGGCUGUUGUUUGUUCCAAUACAAUAUAGAUAUAGAUGGCAAACGGCUGCUCAUGCUACAGACAAUUUAAUAACAUCCUUGCGGCCUGACAGGUUGUUGAAAAGAAAAAAAAAAAAAA